UUCCAGAAUGCUCGGUGAGAGGUGGAGGAGCGGUAACUGCCUGAGCUGCGCACAGCUCCGUGCUCCUUUCCACUCCCUCACACAGCGGCCUCAGCCAGCACCGGCAGUAGAAGAUGGUGAAAGAAAUAACUUACUACGAUUUACUACGAUGUUUUGGGGGUCAAACCCAAUGCUACUCAGAAAGAAUUGAAAAAGGCUUAUAGGAAACUGGCCUUGAAGUACCAUCCUGAUAAGAAUCCAAAUGAAGGAGAGAAGUUCAAACAGAUUUCUCAAGCUUAUGAAGUUCUCUCUGAUGCAAAGAAAAGGGAAUUAUAUGACAAAGCAGGAGAACUGGCAAUCAAAGAGGGUGGAGCAGGUGGCGGUUUUGGCUCCCCCAUGGACAUCUUUGAUAUGUUUUUUGGAGGAGGAGGAAGGAUGCAGAGAGAAAGGAGAGGCAAAAAUGUUGUACAUCACCUCUCGGUAACCCUAGAAGACUUAUAUAAUGGUGCAACAAGAAAACUGGCUCUGCAAAAGAAUGUGAUUUGUGACAAAUGUGAAGGUAGAGAAGGUAAGAAAGGAGCAGUAGAGGGCUGUCCCAAUUGCCGAGGUACUGGAAUGCAAGUAAGGAUUCUUAAGAUAGGACUUGGAAUGGUUCAGCAAAUUCAGUCUGUGUGCAUGGAGUGCCAGGACCAUGGGGAGUGGAGCAGUGCUAAAGAUAGAUGUAAAAGCUGCAACGGAAGGAAAUAGUUCGAGAGAAGAAGAUUCUAGAGGUUCAUAUUGAAAAAGUCAUGAAAGAUGGCCAGAAGAUAACUUUCCAUGGUGAAGGAGACCAAGAACCAGGACUGGAGCCAGGCAGUAUUAUCAUUAUGUUAGAUCAGAAGGACCAUGCUGUUUUUACUGGAUGAGGAGAAGACCUUUUCAUGUGUAUGGACAUACAGCUGGUUGAAGCAUUGUGUGACUUCCAGAAGCCAAUAUCCACUCUUGACAACCGAACCAUAGUCAUCACCUCUCAUCCAGGUCAGAUUGUCAAGCAUGGAGAUAUCAAGUGUGUACUAAAUGAAGGCAUGUCAAUUUAUCGUAGACCACAUGAAAAGGGUCGCCUAAUCAUUGAAUUUAAGGAGAACUUUCCUGAGAAUGGCUUUCUGUCUCUUGAUAAACUGUCUUUUUCUGGAAAAACUCCUACCCGAGAGGAAGGAAGUGGAAGAGACUGAUGAGAUGGAUGAAGUAGAACUGGUGGACUUUGAUCCAAAUCAGGAAAGAUGGCGCCGUUACAAUGGAGAAGUAUAUGAGGAUGAUGAACAUCAUCGCAGAGGUGGUGUUCAGUGGCAGACCUCUUCGUGGGCCAGUGAAUAACACUCACUGCUGGCAUUUAUUGUGUUAUAGUGAAUAA